rnacentral:rRNA from 1 species
CCUACGGGAGGCAGCAGUGGGGAAUAUUGCACAAUGGGGGGAAACCCUGAUGCAGCGACGCCGCGUGAGUGAAGAAGUAUUUCGGUAUGUAAAGCUCUAUCAGCAGGGACGAAUAAAUGACGGUACCUGACUAAGAAGCCCCGGCUAACUACGUGCCAGCAGCCGCGGUAAU